CAAAUUCCAGCUGGAAUAUCUCUGUGUCUUCAAGUUCAUCACGGCGACUCAGGAUCACAUCCAUUCCUAUUAAAGGACAAAUUUGAAGAACGCGCUUCCUCGAUUUUGUGUGUCCUGGAAGUUUUCUCAUAAGUGAUAUGUCCCUGGUAUCUGAGUGUAGGAAACCAGCAAACGUAUGGCUGCAAAGAAACAAGGAAGAAUAUUGAACUGGCUCACCUUCAUAGGCAAGUCUAAACCUGAUGAUGACUUGUGCAGACACACACCAAGGUCAGCUGAACCUUUAAUGUUCCUUCAAAGGUCCCUUGCCUGUCAUGGAGAACAGAAAAAACACAGAGGUUCAGUUAGUCCUUCUCAUUACUGGAGUGUUUUAGCAGAAAAACAGAUCAAGGGCUUUGAUAUUUUUAGGUGGUUCUUACCUUCAAGAGAAUCCAGUAAAAUUGAGAAGUCUUCAUCUUCUGUAAACAAUAAAACGUGUGUCCUGAGUUAAAACACAGUGUUGUGACUACUGUAGACAACAUAAUUUGAAUAUAUCAACAAAGUUGAAAUGGUAAAUUGG